CCUCCUCUUCCUGGGGGAGAUCAGGUGUGUUGUCUCUGUCCCUAUAAUGUACUGAGGCAGAAGGACAGGGCACCAGCCCCCUUGGGGUCAUGUCUUUGGUGCUGGUGGCUUCCAGUCUGCAGGUUCUAUCCUCAAGCUCUGGGACACAG
rfam:Myotis brandtii contig301564, whole genome shotgun sequence.